rnacentral:lncRNA from 1 species
ACUAUAUGAUUGAUUUCCAAUUUAUAAAAUUAUAGGAAUAAUACUAAUUAUAAGUAGAAAACACAAUGAGUGUGCAGGAAUGGCUGCAGUAGAAUUAGAAGAGUUUCUUGUUUCAUUUUUAUUUAUUUUUAUAUACAUGUUGAAUAUCUCAUAUCAUUAAGAUGAUAUAAGGAAUAAAUCCAUUUGUUGUUUAGAAUACUGUUAAUUUGAAAUCUUUAAUUGAAGUGUAAGUUCUACCAAAAACCAUUAGUACUGACAAACACAGAAAUGAACAUCUGCCUGAAUUGUAAAAGAAAAGGACAUGCUUGCUUCUUUAAGAUUAAAAAUAACUUCUCCAUUAUCAAGUGAAAACUGAAUUAUAAACUCUAAUUUUAUGUUAGUAUUUUUAAGAUACUCUGAAUGCACAUGUGUGUAUGAUAGAAAUUAUUUUAAAUAUUUUCCAAUUACACAGCAAUCACUUUUCUUCGAAAUUUUUGGUUGAUAAUGACAAGAUGUCAGAGAUUUUUCUACUUCAUUUGUUUAGAUCUGGUGGAAUGAUAUUUGUGGUAUAUUUAUACUUUCUACUUUUCUGAAUUAUAUUUACUUUUUUAUCCUUUUCUGUUACAUUUUAUGUUGCUCUCCAUAAUAGUCUCAAUUUGAGAGUUUUCCAUUCUAUGAUUCUCUGCUAUUUUUCAAGUUUUCUUUGUCCCCUCAAAUAAGCUGUUGUAGAGAAAGGCUAACAGAACUCCGGGCUGAUGGGUGAGCUCAGUGGGGAGUUUGAGGUUUUUCUUUGCUUCUUUUGUUUCGAUUUUUUUGUUGUUGUUGUUUUGGUUUUUUUCAUAAGUCUUACCAUCAUUGAAGGAUGUAAAUAUACAUCCGGAUGCAUUGAAUAAUGGUUCAAAGAGACGGAAAAAAGAAAGACUCAAAAUUUAUAGAAUUAUUUCACAUGUUGGAACUUCAUGAAGUUGUUUCUGAUAUAUAUUUUAUUUCCUGGGGUGUUUGCAUUACUAUAUACUUCCCGUUUAAAGU